GACGAACGCUGGCGGCGUGCUUUAGGCAUGCCAGUCGAACGCGAAAGCCCCUUCGGGGGUGAGUAGAGUGGCGAACGGGUGAGUAACACGUGGGUAACCUGCCCCUCGCAGGGGGAUAACCGGGGGAAACCCCGGCUAAUACCCCGUACGCUUGCUGGGGCGCAUGCUCCGGCAAGGAAAGGUAGCUUCGGCCAUCCGGCGAGGGAGGGGCCCGCGGCCCAUUAGCUAGUUGGUGGGGUAACGGCCCACCAAGGCGACGAUGGGUAGCUGGCCUGAGAGGGGGGCCGCCCACACGGGGACUGAGACACGGCCCAGACCCCGACGGGAGGCAGCAGCCAGGAAUCUUGCGCAAGGGGCGAAAGCCUGACGCGGCAACGCCGCGGGGGCGAUGAAGGCCUUCGGGUCGUAAAGCCCUGUUGUCGGGGACGAAGGGCGAAGGGUUAAUAGCCCCUAGCCUGACGGUACCCGACGAGGAAGCCCCGGCUAACUACGUG
rnacentral:rRNA from 1 species